UCACAACAUACACCGUCAGAUUGACAUUCCAAUUGAAAUUUUCGCGAACAAUUCACUCAAUUGCGUCCUGGUGAAUUCUGUUGCAAGUCGCGGGGAAUAUCUACCAUUUUUGGCCGAGACCGCAGCACACGAACCAUCUUUGUGAACCGGUAAAGUGGAAGCAGAAGCGAAAUGUCCUUGAACACGGCUCACGCCAAUAAUGGCGUAUUAAUUCACGCUGGAGAAUACAUUCUAUUGUUCAGCGAUAAUGUCAGCAUGGAAUUUUCUGGUCAAGACAGUCCUGUCUUCAAGGGAUCCAAAACCGGAAAGAUAUACCUAACGACACAUCGCAUGAUCUUCAAUGCGAAACAUCAAAGUGAUCCUCUCCAAUCAUUCAGCUUUCCGUUUAUCUCCCUCAGCGAUGUGGACAUAGAGCAACCAACAUUCGGAUCAAAUUACAUCAAAGGCAAAGUUCGUGCUCAGCCUAAUGGCAAUUGGAUCGGCGAAGCGAAAUUCAAGUUGUACUUCAAAUCCGGUGGUGCGAUUGAUUUUGGACAGGCAAUGCUGCGGGCAGCUCGUAUGGCUCAACGUAACUUCAACAAUGAUGCUCCACCACCGUACACACCACCGACGGGUGGUUGGUAUCAGGCGCCUCCGCCAGCUUAUGCACCGAAUCCUCAAGGCUACUAUGGAUGGGUACCACCGACACAGGCAUUCCCGAAUGGACCACCACCAAAUACAGUCUUUAUGACUGAUAAUCCUCCACCAUAUCCAGGAAUAGUUCCGCCUCCUCAAGCUCAAGGGUAUCCGAACGUUCCAAAUACACAAGCCGGCUCUACGACAUAUAACGGCUGGGACCCGAUUCCGGAUAGGCGACAGCCAGCAAUGGGUCCGGGCUCAAAUUUCCCUGCACCUGAACCACUAGGAGCAGGGGGAUAUCCACCUCAGGCGGGUGGUUAUCCACCUCAGGCGGGAGGUUAUGCACCUCAAGCAGGUGGUUAUCCACCUCAAGCAGGUGGUUAUCCACCUCAAGCAGGUGGUUAUCCACCACAGGCGGGCGGAGGUUAUCCGCCACAAUCAUCGGGAGGUUAUCCACCACAACAACCGGGAGGUUACCCACCACAGCAACCGGGAGGUUACCCACCACAGCAACCGGGAGGUUAUGCACCACAGCAACCUGGAGGAUAUCCACCGCAGGGACCUUCGCGUCCAAACAUGUUCUAAAGGAAAUUGAAAUUGUUAAUACGUAACUGAAUCGCAUCAUCCCUUCUAACGACUAUAAACUUGCAGACAAUUGGAUUUACAGGCCACCCAACAAGCCCUGGUGGAGAAAAUUUUAGCGAAUUAAUGAACUCUUUGGAACCCAAGAAGCGAAUCGCUCAACACUAGUAGGACCUUUGCAAAUAAAUGGAGUCCAAUUUGUCUAACUGGAAGGUACUGUACACAGUUGAGGGAGCUUGAAUAUAGUUUUUGUUUCACUUUGGUUCCCUUUAGUUUGGUUGUUCACUCUCUUGCGCUAAAUACUAACACACACCUAUUUGUAACUUUCCGGAGGAUGUGGUGCAUAAUUUCGUAGCAUGUAACUCUUAGAGCAGUUGCAUUACCUUGCAAAGCACAUUCAAGAAAAAAA